CUCAUGAUGUGCAGCCUUCAUAAAGUGAACAGAAAAGCACUGCAGGGGAAAGUCUCAAAGCCACAUAGUAAGGAAAGAGAAGCCGUUAGAUCAUCAAGAAGUGAGCUGAGACAACUUCAAGUUCAGCACCUACGGGAGUUGGAACCAAGGGAGAAGUGUCUCUUCGAAAAGUCAAAAACAGUGAGGGAGACCAAGAUGCAUAGAGCAAGAGAUGGGAUGAAACAUAUGCUGGUUUCUCAUGAAAGUUACAAAACUCUAUUGGGGUGUGUGUGUGUGUGUGUGUGUGUGUGUGUGUGUGUGUGUGUGUUUUGGGGGCAAUGCUGGUAA
rnacentral:lncRNA from 1 species